AUUGAACGCUAGCGGGAUGCCUUACACAUGCAAGUCGAACGGAGUGGCGAACGGGUGAGUAAUGUAUCGGAACGUGCCCAGUAGCGGGGGAUAACUAAGCGAAAGCGUAGCUAAUACCGCAUACUAUUGGUCCGGUCGUUAUCGGCUGAGCUAGUUGGUGGGGUAACGGCUUACCAGGGCGACGAACCGUAGCUGGUUGGAGAGGACGACCAGCCACACUGGGACUGAGACACGGCCCAGACUCCUACGGGAGGCAGCAGUGGGGAAUAUUGGACAAGGGGGGAAACCCUGAUGCAGCCAUCCCGCGUGUACGAUGAAGGCCUUAGGGUUGUAAAGUACUUUUAGCAGGAAAGCGUUACCGGCAGAAUAAGCACCGGCUAACUACGUGCCAGCAGCCGCGGUAAUAC
rnacentral:rRNA from 1 species